GCAACUCGCCUGCAUGAAGUCGGAAUUGCUAGUAAUCGCAGAUCAGAAUGCUGCGGUGAAUACGUUCCCGGGCCUUGUACACACCGCCCGUCACACCAUGGGAGUCGGUAACACCCGAAGCCUGUAGUCUAACCUUUAAGGGGGACGCAGUCGAAGGUGGGAUUGAUGACUGGGGUGAAGUCGUAACAAGGUAGC
rnacentral:rRNA from 1 species